GGUUUACCUGUGUGACUGCGUACCUUUUGUAUAAUGGGUCAGCGACUUAUAUUCUGUAGCAAGGUUAACCGUAUAGGGGAGCCGGAGGGAAACCGAGUCUUAAUUGGGCGUUAAGUUGCAGGGUAUAGACCCGAAACCCGGUGAUCUAGCCAUGGGCAGGUUGAAGGUUGGGUAACACUAACUGGAGGACCGAACCGACUAAUGUUGA
rnacentral:rRNA from 1 species